rnacentral:tRNA from 2 species
GGGCCGUUAGCUCAGGUGGUAGAGCAGCUGCCUUCUAAGCAGCGGGUCGCAGGUUCAAGUCCUGCACGGCUCACCA